rnacentral:rRNA from 1 species
GAUGAACGCUGGCGGCGUGCCUAAUACAUGCAAGUCGAGCGAACAGACGAGGAGCUUGCUCCUCUGACGUUAGCGGCGGACGGGUGAGUAACACGUGGAUAACCUACCUAUAAGACUGGAUAACUUCGGGAAACCGGAGCUAAUACCGGAUAAUAUAUUGAACCGCAUGGUUCAAUAGUGAAAGACGGUUUUGCUGUCACUUAUAGAUGGAUCCGCGCCGCAUUAGCUAGUUGGUAAGGUAACGGCUUACCAAGGCGACGAUGCGUAGCCGACCUGAGAGGGUGAUCGGCCACACUGGAACUGAGACACGGUCCAGACUCCUACGGGAGGCAGCAGUAGGGAAUCUUCCGCAAUGGGCGAAAGCCUGACGGAGCAACGCCGCGUGAGUGAUGAAGGUCUUCGGAUCGUAAAACUCUGUUAUUAGGGAAGAACAAAUGUGUAAGUAACUAUGCACGUCUUGACGGUACCUAAUCAGAAAGCCACGGCUAACUACGUG